rnacentral:tRNA from 1 species
GAACCCUUGGCACAGUGGUAGCGCGUGAGAUUCCAGCAGGGAUAUCCUCAAGGUCGUCCGUUCGAUCCGGGCAGGGUUCA